GAUGAACGCUGGCGGCGUGCCUAAUACAUGCAAGUCGAGCGAACGGACGAGAAGCUUGCUUCUCUGAUGUUAGCGGCGGACGGGUGAGUAACACGUGGAUAACCUACCUAUAAGACUGGGAUAACUUCGGGAAACCGGAGCUAAUACCGGAUGAUAUUUUGAACCGCAUGGUUCAAAAGUGAAAGACGGUCUUGCUGUCACUUAUAGAUGGAUCCGCGCUGCAUUAGCUAGUUGGUAAUGUAACGGCUUACCAAGGCAACGAUGCAUAGCCGACCUGAGAGAGUGAUCGGCCACACUGGAACUGAGACACGGUCCAGACUCCUACGGGAGGCAGCAGUAGGGAAUCUUCCGCAAUGGGCGAAAGCCUGACGGAGCAACGCCGCGUGAGUGAUGAAGGUCUUCGGAUCGUAAAACUCUGUUAUUAGGGAAGAACAUAUGUGUAAGUAACUGUGCACAUCUUGACGGUACCUAAUCAGAAAGCCACGGCUAACUACGUG
rnacentral:rRNA from 1 species